UGGGGAAUUUUGGACAAUGGGCGAAAGCCUGAUCCAGCAAUGCCGCGUGUGUGAAGAAGGCCUUCGGGUUGUAAAGCACUUUUGUCCGGAAAGAAAUCCUUGGCUCUAAUACAGUCGGGGGAUGACGGUACCGGAAGAAUAAGCACCGGCUAACUACGUGCCAGCAGCCGCGGUAAUACGUAGGGUGCAAGCGUUAAUCGGAAUUACUGGGCGUAAAGCGUGCGCAGGCGGUUUGCUAAGACCGAUGUGAAAUCCCCGGGCUCAACCUGGGAACUGCAUUGGUGACUGGCAGGCUAGAGUAUGGCAGAGGGGGGUAGAAUUCCACGUGUAGCAGUGAAAUGCGUAGAGAUGUGGAGGAAUACCGAUGGCGAAGGCAGCCCCCUGGGCAAUACUGACGCUCAUGUACGAAAGCGUGGGGAGCAAACAGGAUUAGAUACCCUGGUAGUCCACGCCCUAAACGAUGUCAACUAGUUGUUGGGGAUUCAUUUCCUUAGUAACGUAGCUAACGCGUGAAGUUGACCGCCUGGGGAGUACGGUCGCAAGAUUAAAACUCAAAGGAAUUGACGGGGUCAUAGCUGUUUCCU
rnacentral:rRNA from 1 species